rnacentral:rRNA from 2 species
UACGAAGGGUGCGAGCGUUGUUCGGAAUUACUGGGCGUAAAGGGUUCGUAGGCGGGAGGAUAAGUUGAGUGUGAAAACCCCGGGCUUAACCUGGGACCUGCAUUCAAAACUGUCCUUCUUGAGUAUCGGAGAGGGUUGUGGAAUUGCUGGUGUAGGAGUGAAAUCCGUAGAGAUCAGCAGGAACACCUGAGGCGAAAGCGACAACCUGGUCGAAUACUGACGCUGAGGAACGAAAGCGCGGGGAGCAAACAGG